AUUGAACGCUGGCGGCAUGCUUUACACAUGCAAGUCGAGCGGCAGCGCGGGGGCAACCCUGGCGGCGAGCGGCGAACGGGUGAGUAAUGCAUCGGAACGUAUCCUCGAGUGGGGGAUAACCCAGCGAAAGUUGGGCUAAUACCGCAUGAGCUCUGAGGAGGAAAGCGGGGGACCUGCGAGGGCCUCGCGCUGGAGGAGCGGCCGAUGUCCGAUUAGCUAGUUGGUGGGGUAAAGGCUUACCAAGGCGACGAUCGGUAGCUGGUCUGAGAGGAUGAUCAGCCACACUGGGACUGAGACACGGCCAAGACUCCUACGGGAGGCAGCAGUGGGGAAUUUUGGACAAUGGGGGCAACCCUGAUCCAGCCAUGCCGCGUGAGUGAAGAAGGCCUUCGGGUUGUAAAGCUCUUUCGGACGGAACGAAAUGGGCGGGACUAAUACUCCUGUCUGAUGACGGUACCGUAAGAAGAAGCACCGGCUAACUACGUG
rnacentral:rRNA from 1 species